CAAUAGCGUAUAUUAAAGUUGUUGCGGUUAAAAAGCUCGUAGUUGGAUUUCUGCUGAGGACGACCGGUCCGCCCUCCGGGUGAGCAUCUGGUUCGGCCUUGGCAUCUUCUUGGUGAACGUAUCUGCACUUGACUGUGUGGUGCGGUACCCAGGACUUUUACUUUGAGGAAAUUAGAGUGUUUCAAGCAGGCAUACGCCUUGAAUACAUUAGCAUGGAAUAAUAAGAUAGGACCUCGGUUCUAUUUUGUUGGUUCUAGAGCUGAGGUAAUGAUUAAUAGGGAUAGUUUGGGGGGCAUUUAGUGAUUUAACUUUGAAUCCUAGGUCAAGGGUGAAAAUUGGUCGUUAAAUUCGGUUAGGAUUUUUUGGUUUUAAAAAAGGAACCGGGG
rnacentral:rRNA from 1 species